UGGGGAAUAUUGGACAAUGGGCGAAAGCCUGAUCCAGCCAUGCCGCGUGUGUGAAGAAGGUCUUCGGAUUGUAAAGCACUUUAAGUUGGGAGGAAGGGCAGUAACCUAAUACGUUGCUGUCUUGACGUUACCGACAGAAUAAGCACCGGCUAACUCUGUGCCAGCAGCCGCGGUAAUACAGAGGGUGCAAGCGUUAAUCGGAAUUACUGGGCGUAAAGCGCGCGUAGGUGGUUUGUUAAGUUGGAUGUGAAAGCCCCGGGCUCAACCUGGGAACUGCAUCCAAAACUGGCAAGCUAGAGUACGGUAGAGGGUGGUGGAAUUUCCUGUGUAGCGGUGAAAUGCGUAGAUAUAGGAAGGAACACCAGUGGCGAAGGCGACCACCUGGACUGAUACUGACACUGAGGUGCGAAAGCGUGGGGAGCAAACAGGAUUAGAUACCCCCGUAGUCCCUGAGCGGGCUGGCAAGGCGCAU
rnacentral:rRNA from 1 species